GAUGAACGCUGGCGGCGUGCCUAAUACAUGCAAGUCGAGCGAACAGACGAGGAGCUUGCUCCUCUGACGUUAGCGGCGGACGGGUGAGUAACACGUGGAUAACCUACCUAUAAGACUGGGAUAACUUCGGGAAACCGGAGCUAAUACCGGAUAAUAUAUUGAACCGCAUGGUUCAAUAGUGAAAGACGGUUUUGCGGUCCCUUUUAGAUGGAUCCGCGCCGCAUUAGCUAGUUGGUAAGGUAACGGCUUACCAAGGCAACGAUGCGUAGCCGACCUGAGAGGGUGAUCGGCCACACUGGAACUGAGACACGGUCCAGACUCCUACGGGAGGCAGCAGUAGGGAAUCUUCCGCAAUGGGCGAAAGCCUGACGGAGCAACGCCGCGUGAGUGAUGAAGGUCUUCGGAUCGUAAAACUCUGUUAUUAGGGAAGAACAAAUGUGUAAGUAACUAUGCACGUCUUGACGGUACCUAAUCAGAAAGCCACGGCUAACUACGUG
rnacentral:rRNA from 1 species